rnacentral:lncRNA from 1 species
GUUUGUGUGUGUGUAUAUAUAUAUAUAUAGGAGGUCUUGUGUGCUAUUAGGAGCAUGGAGGUCUCCGUGCUUCUAAGUUGUUUUCGAUGAUGGAGCUUCCGAAUCAACGAUCGGCUCCGUUAGACUUCAUCUAGUGUAUUUGAAGUAUCUAGAAAAUAAAUUUUGUAAUUUUUCGAUAUCAUUUACUUAACGAUCGAAAGAGUUCAAAAUCAACGGCCGAAAAUAAAAAUAUCACAAAAAGUGAUGAUAUAGCACUAAAAUUUUUGAUCAGAGAUAUUGAUCUUGCAGUGAAUAGUACAAAAAAUUUUUUAUCAAAAUUUUAUUUGGUUUGAAUACUUCUAUACCGUUAAACUUGCAAACAAUAUAUAUCAACCAUUAAAAAUUGUUGAUUUUGAACCAUUUCGAUCGCUAGGUAAAUGAUAUCCAAAAAGAGUAAAAUUUAUUUUUAGAUACUUCAAAUAUGCUAGAUUAAGUCUAACAGAGUCGAUCGUCGAUUCGGAAGCUCCAUCAUAAAAAACGGCUUUGGAGUACGGAGGCCUCAGUACUCCUAAUAGUACAAAAGACCUACUCUCUCUCUCUCUCUCUAUAUAUAUAUAUAGAGAGAGAGAGAGAGAAAGAGAGAGAUAGAGAGAGAGAGUUAUGCUACUAUACUAUCAAUAGUAUCAAGCCCUUGGUACUAUUGAGUUUUCGACUGUUGGAUGAAAAAAUGUGUGGCUAGGAUGAUAGUGGCCCCCGGUUAAAUUGAUAGUGGUCUCUUAGGGUUCAGUGGGUGGUUGGUUAAUAGUAUAAUCUAACGGGUGGAAAUGAUCAAAGAGUAGAUCUAAUGGUAGAAAACUCAAUAGUACAAAGAACUUGGUACUAUCGAUAGUAUAGUAGCCGGACUCUCUCUUUCUCUCUCUCUCUCUCUCUCUCUCUCUCUCUCUCUAUAUAUAUAUAUAUAUAUAUAUAUAUAUAUAUAUAUAUAUAUAUAUAUAUAUAGAGCAGGACUGUUGUGCUCUCGGGAGCACGGAGGCCUCCGUGCUCCUGAGCCGUUUUCGAUGAUGAAAUUUCCGAAUCGACGAUCGGCUCCGUUAGACUUGAUCGAGCGUAUUUGAAGUUUCUAGAAAAUAAUUUUUGCGAUUUUUCGAUAUCAUUUACCUAGCAAUCGAAAGGAUUCAAAAUCAAUAAUUUUUAAUGGCUAAAAAUAAAAAUUCUAUAAAAAGUGGUGAUAUAGCACUAAAAUUUUCGAUCAGAAAUAUUGAACUUGUUGUAGAUAGUAUAAAUAAUUUUGUAUCAAAAUUUCAUCUGAUUUGAAUAUUUCUACACCGUUAAACUUGAAAACGGCAGAUAUCAACCAUUAAAAAUUAUUGAUUUUGACUCCUUUUGAUCACUAGGUAAAUGAUAUCAAAAAAUCGCAAAAAUUAUUUUCUAAAAACUUCAAAUACCCUAGAUCAAGUCUAAUAGAGCCGAUCGUCGAUUCGAAAAUUCCAUCAUUGAAAACGGCUCAGGAGCACGGAGGCCUCCGAGCUCCUGAGCACGGAGGCCUCCGUGCUCCUGAGAGCACAUCAGCCCUGCUAUACACACACACACACACAUAUAUAUAUAUAUAUAUAUAUAUAUAUAUAUAUAUAUAAUUGAGCUCCUAUGCUUUUAAAAGUACCAAGUCAUUAGUGCUUGUAAGUUUUUAGCCCUUGGAUUAAGGAAUGUGCGGUUAAGAUAAUAUGGGCCUCCUAGGGUUAAGUGGGUGGUUGGUUGAAUAGUAUAAUCUAACGGGUGAAAAUGAUCAAAGGCCUACAUCUAACGGUAAAAAAAUUAUAAGCACCAAAUACUUGGUACUUUUACAAGCACCAUAGCCGGACUCUCUCUCUCUCUCUCUCUCUCUCUCUAUAUAUAUAUAUAUAUAUAUAUAUAAUUGAGCUCCUAUGCUUUUAAAAGUACCAAGUUAUUGGUGCUUGUAGAUUUUUAGCCAUUGGAUUAAGAGAUAUGCGGUUAGGAUGAUGUGGGCCUCUUAGGGUUGAGUGUGUGGUUGGUUGAAUAGUGUAAUCUAAUGGUUGAAAAUGAUCCGAUGAAUAGAUCUAACGGUAAAAAACUUACAAGCAUCAAGUGCUUGGUGCUUUUACAAGCACCAUAGCUAGACUCUCUCUCUCUAUCUCUCUCUCUCUCUAUAUAUAUAUACAGAGCAGGGCUGCUGUGCUCCUGUGCUCCUGAGCCGUUUUCGAUGAUGGAAUUUUCGAAUCGACGAUCGGCUCCGUUAGACUUGAUCUAGGGUAUUUGAAGUGUCUAGAAAAUAAUUUUUGCAAUUUUUUGAUAUCAUUUACCUAGUGAUCGAAAGGAUUUAAAAUCCAUAAUUUUUAAUGGUUGAUAUCUGCCAUUUUCAAGUUUAAUGGUAUAGAAGUAUUCAAAUCAGAUGAUAUUUUGAUACAAAAUUCUUUAUACUAUCUACAACAAAAUCAAUAUUUCCGAUCGAAAAAUUUAGUGCUAUAUCACCACUUUUUAUAGGAUUUUUAUUUUCAGCCGUUAAAAAUUAUUGAUUUUUUAUCCUUUCGAUUGCUAGGUAAAUGAUAUCGAAAAAUCGUAAAAAUUAUUUUCUAGAAAAUUCAAAUACGCUAGAUCAAGUCUAACGGAGCCGAUCGUCGAUUCGGAAAUUCCAUCAUCGAAAACGGCUCAGGAGAACGAAGGCCUCCGUGCUCCUGAGAGCAC